CUCGUAGGUGGCCAACUAAGUCAGACGUGAAACCCCUCGGCUUAACCGGGGAACUGCGUCUGAUACUGGAUGGCUUGAGUUUGGGAGAGGGACGCGGAAUUCCAGGUGUAGCGGUGAAAUGCGUAGAUAUCUGGAGGAACACCGGUGGCGAAGGCGGCGUCCUGGACCAACACUGACACUGAGGAGCGAAAGCCAGGGGAGCAAACG
rnacentral:rRNA from 1 species